CGUUGGUCCUCCAAAGGCCAACACCGAAGAGGCUUGUCCUUCAUUGCCGGCCGUGCGGGGUUUUCCCCAAUCGAACGGUGUUUCGGGUCCGGACGUUUCGUCCGCUGUCGCCGGCGUCUCCACAGCGCCAUGCGAUGGCUGCGAUUCAU
rfam:Bosea sp. TND4EK4 genome assembly, contig: Ga0136738_133